ACGUAGGGGGCGAGCGUUGUCCGGAUUUAUUGGGCGUAAAGAGCUCGUAGGCGGUUGCGUAAGUCGGAUGUGAAAACUCAGGGCUCAACCCUGAGACGCCAUCCGAUACUGCGCUGACUCGAAUCCAGUAGGGGAGUGUGGAAUUCCUGGUGUAGCGGUGAAAUGCGCAGAUAUCAGGAGGAACACCCAUGGCGAAGGCAGCACUCUGGGCUGGUAUUGACGCUGAGGAGCGAAAGCAUGGGUAGCGAACAGGAUUAGAUACCCUGGUAGUCCAUGCCGUAAACGGUGGGCACUAGGUGUGGGGACUUUCAACGGUUUCCGUGCCGAAGCUAACGCAUUAAGUGCCCCGCCUGGGGAGUACGGCCGCAAGGCUA
rnacentral:rRNA from 1 species